GACGAACGCUGGCGGCGUGCUUAACACAUGCAAGUCGAACGGAAAGGCCCUGCUUUUGUUGGUUGCUCGAGUGGCGAACGGGUGAGUAACACGUGUGUAACCUGCCCUUGACUUUCGGAUAACUUCAGGAAACUGGGGCUAAUACCGCAUAUGAGCUCUUGCUCCAUGUUGUGGGUUGGAAAGUUUCGGCGUUUGUGGAUGGACUCGCUGCUUAUCAGCUUGUUUGUGUGGUAGUGGCUUUCCAAGGCUUGGACGGGUAGCCGGCCUGAGAGGGGUACCGGCGACAUGGGGACUGAGAGACGGACCAGAAGCGUACGGGAGGCAGCAGGGGGGAAUAUUGCAGAGUGGGCGGAAGCCAGAGGCGGAAACGCCGGGUGCGGGAUGACGGGCUUCGGGUUGUAAACAGAUUUCGAAUGAGAUGAAGAGGGAGUGACGGUAAUGGGUAAAGAAGCACCGGCUAACUACGUG
rnacentral:rRNA from 1 species